CACUUAAUGUAGCAUGUUCUGAACCCUGCCACAGAUCAUCAUAGCACUGCUUGGAGAUGGAUCUGGAAAGCUGAAAAUGUACAACAGUUGCUUCUGUUGACUCUCUGGAUUGGGUGACUCUACCUGGACAAAGUCUUGGAUUGAGGUGUGACAUGCUUCAGGGAAGGGGAGUGUUCAAUGAAGUCACAAGGCAUCCUGAAAUAACAGAGUGGGGCAACGUAUGGACUGGGGAUUGGGAGGUAUGAAUCAUGAACAGCAAUUGUUACUUAAGUAUGAAGAAAAUGGAGCCAGAAAAGCUUACAUUAUAGUUUCUCUCUGGAUAGAUAACUAAAAGAUGAACUUUAGAACCAAACGAUCACUGGUUUAAAUACCUAUAUGUUUUGAACUAACGUCUUAAACUUCUUGGAGCUUCGCUUCACCCUGAGAAUAGCAAUUUGAUAUGAAGUGUAGUUAAGGAUUGAGCAAUGAAAGCCUCCCUGUUAUCUGGUGCAGAACCUGUGCACACAAUGUCACUAUGUUCCCCUUCCCCUUUCCACUUAGUGACUGGUUCAAUAAACAGCAACUGGAAA